rnacentral:rRNA from 1 species
UACGUAGGGGGCGAGCGUUGUCCGGAUUUAUUGGGCGUAAAGAGCGUGUAGGCGGCCAGGUAGGUCCGUUGUGAAAACUCGAGGCUCAACCUCGAGACGUCGGCGGAAACCCUCUGGCUAGAGUCCGGAAGAGGAGAGUGGAAUUCCUGGUGUAGCGGUGAAAUGCGCAGAUAUCAGGAGGAACACCGGUGGCGAAGGCGGGUCUCUGGGCCGAUACUGACGCUGAGGAGCGAAAGCGUGGGGAGCGAACAGG